AGCGAACGCUGGCGGCAGGCCUAACACAUGCAAGUCGAACGAAGUCUUCGGACUUAGUGGCGGACGGGUGAGUAACACGUGGGAACGUGCCUUUAGGUUCGGAAUAACUCCGGGAAACUUGUGCUAAUACCGAAUGUGCCCUUCGGGGGAAAGAUUUAUCGCCUUUAGAGCGGCCCGCGUCUGAUUAGCUAGUUGGUGAGGUAAAGGCUCACCAAUGCUACGAUCAGUAGCUGGUCUGAGAGGAUGACCAGCCACAUUGGGACUGAGACACGGCCCAACCUCCUACGGGAGGCAGCAGUGGGGAAUCUUGCGCAAUGGGCGAAAGCCUGACGCAGCCAUGCCGCGUGGAUGAUGAAGGUCUUAGGAUUGUAAAAUCCUUUCACCGGUGAAGAUAAUGACCGUAGCCGGAGAAGAAGCCCCGGCUAACUUCGUGCCAGCCGCCGCAGUAAAAC
rnacentral:rRNA from 1 species